UUGAUGAUCGGUGCUUGCACCGAGAUUCAACAUGGAACGAGUGGCGGACGGGUGAGUAACACGUGGGUAACCUGCCCUUAAGUGGGGGAUAACAUUUGGAAACAGAUGCUAAUACCGCAUAGAUCCAAGAACCGCAUGGUUCUUGGCUGAAAGAUGGCGUAAGCUAUCGCUUUUGGAUGGACCCGCGGCGUAUUAGCUAGUUGGUGAGGUAAUGGCUCACCAAGGCGAUGAUACGUAGCCGAACUGAGAGGUUGAUCGGCCACAUUGGGACUGAGACACGGCCCAAUACUCCUACGGGAGGCAGCAGUAGGGAAUCUUCCACAAUGGACGCAAGUCUGAUGGAGCAACGCCGCGUGAGUGAAGAAGGCUUUCGGGUCGUAAAACUCUGUUGUUGGAGAAGAAUGGUCGGCAGAGUAACUGUUGUCGGCGUGACGGUAUCCAACCAGAAAGCCACGGCUAACUACGUGCCAGCAGCCGCGGUAAUACGUAGGUGGCAAGCGUUAUCCGGAUUUAUUGGGCGUAAAGCGAGCGCAGGCGGUUUUUUAAGUCUGAUGUGAAAGCCCUCGGCUUAACCGAGGAAGCGCAUCGGAAACUGGGAAACUUGAGUGCAGAAGAG
rnacentral:rRNA from 1 species